rnacentral:rRNA from 1 species
UACAGAGGGCUCAAGCGUUGUUCGGAUUCAUUGGGCGUAAAGGGCGCGUAGGCGGCGGGGUAAGUCGGGUGUGAAAUCUCAGAGCUCAACUCUGAAAUGGCACUUGAUACUGCGCUGCUAGAGGACUGGAGAGGAGAUUGGAAUUCACGGUGUAGCAGUGAAAUGCGUAGAUAUCGUGAGGAAGACCGGUGGCGAAGGCGGAUCUCUGGACAGUUACUGACGCUGAGGCGCGAAGGCCAGGGGAGCAAACGGG